ACGAACGCUGGCGGCGUGCCUAACACAUGCAAGUCGAGCGAGAGACUUCGGUCUCUAGCGGCGGACGGGUGAGUAACACGUGGGUAACCUGCCUUAUAGAGGGGGAUAGCCUUCCGAAGGGAGAUUAAUACCGCAUAAGAAGUAGAGAUCGCAUGAUCUCAGCUUUAAAGGAGUAAUCCGCUAUAAGAUGGACCCGCGGCGCAUUAGCUAGUUGGAGAGGUAAAGGCUCACCAAGGCGACGAUGCGUAGCCGACCUGAGAGGGUGAUCGGCCACAUUGGAACUGAGAGACGGUCCAGACUCCUACGGGAGGCAGCAGUGGGGAAUAUUGCACAAUGGGGGAAACCCUGAUGCAGCAACGCCGCGUGAGUGAAGAAGGCCUUCGGGUUGUAAAGCUCUGUUGAAGGGGACGAUAAUGACGGUACCCUUCGAGGAAGCCACGGCUAACUACGUGCCAGCAGCCGCGGUAAUACGUAGGUGGCGAGCGUUGUCCGGAAUUACUGGGCGUAAAGGAUGCGUAGGCGGAUUAUUAAGUCAGAUGUGAAAUUCCCGAGCUUAACUUGGGAGCUGCAUUUGAAACUGGUAGUCUGGAGUGCAGGAGAGGUAAGUGGAACUCCUAGUGUAGCGGUGAAAUGCGUAGAGAUUAGGAAGAACACCAGUGGCGAAGGCGACUUACUGGACUGUAACUGACGCUGAGGCAUGAAAGCGUGGGGAGCAAACAGGAUUAGAUACCCUGGUAGUCCACGCUGUAAACGAUGAAUACUAGGUGGUGGGAGGUAUCGACUCCUUCUGUGCCGCAGUUAACACAAUAAGUAUUCCGCCUGGGGAGUACGGUCGCAAGAUUAAAACCCAAAGGAAUUGACGGGGGCCCGCACAAGCAGCGGAGCAUGUGGUUUAAUUCGAAGCAACGCGAAGAACCUUACCUAGACUUGACAUCUCCUGAAUUACCCGUAAUUGGGGAAGCUCUUCGGAGCAGGAAGACAGGUGAUGCAUGGUUGUCGUCAGCUCGUGUCGUGAGAUGUUGGGUUAAGUCCCGCAACGAGCGCAACCCCUAUUGAUAGUUGCCAGCAGUAAGAUGGGCACUCUAUUGAGACUGCCUGGGUUAACCAGGAGGAAGGUGGGGAUGACGUCAAAUCAUCAUGCCCCUUAUGUCUAGGGCCACACACGUGCUACAAUGGUGAGAACAACGAGAUGCAAGACCGCAAGGUGGAGCCAAACUCAAAAACUCAUCCCAGUUCGGAUUGUAGGCUGAAACUCGCCUACAUGAAGCCGGAGUUGCUAGUAGUCGCGAAUCAGCAUGUCGCGGUGAAUACGUUCCCGGGCCUUGUACACACCGCCCGUCACACCAUGAGAGCUUGCAACACCCGAAGUCCGUAGUCUAACCGUAAGGGGGACGCGGCCGAAGGUGGGGUAAGUGAUUGGGGUG
rnacentral:rRNA from 1 species